UGAGGCUCUUGAAGAGGCAAUUCAGCAUAGUCUACUAGAAGAGUGUGAUGGACCUGCUGUUAAUACUUUAAAGUCAUCUGAAAUGCUGAGCAAAGAAGAAAUUGCAGGUCUUCUACAAGCUCACAGUGAGAGAGUUAUUACAUCGGGAACAAGACAGAUCUAUAUCAGUCGAGCCAAUUUUUGGACCACAGCCUUAUGUGUGUUUAAGAGACCCAGUUUUGCAGAAAGCUGUGACAAGCUCUAUGUCACAUUUACAAGCGAUGAACAUGAUGCUGUGGAAGAUGCUGCUGACCUUGGGGGUCCCAGACGAGAGUUUUUCCGCUUACUGGUGAAGGCUAUCUUCCAGGACAGUGGAACUUUUUAAGAUUUUUUAUAAAUAUAUAUAAUAUAUUUUGUGGCUACCUGACCACAAAUAUUGGUUUAAAAUGCCAGAGAAAAUAAUACAGAAUGUGCUGCUUAACUUAUUUAAUCUUUCAGGCACACACUCAGGCUUCCACUCGUAGUCACCAUGGCCAACAGAGAUGUGUUUGUGAAAAAUGCAGUUCUAUACCAAUAGUUGUUCAACGGCAGAGCUGUCUUGAUCAACUCAUUGAUGGCUUGUCCCACAAUGGAGUUUUAUCACUCCUGAGAGAGAACCCCAGCUUGUGUGUGCUGCUUGACAUACCAGGAGAGGACAAAGGUCAAGAAACUGAUUUUGUAGCUGGUAUUCUCAAACCAAGCUACUCCGUACUGGGGAGCAACAGAAGAGCUAAGGAGGAGUUGAUAGUGGUCAAAUUUAGGGAGUUUCUCCAAUGUGUUGAAAGUAAGUACCGGUAUGUAUUUGUAAUUCAGUAUAUUAUACAACAAGGCAAUCCAGGACAUUUACAGAUUCAUUUUAUUCUCUGCAACUGUGCCUAUCUAAUGUGUUUGUACCACAAACAAGAAUACAGUUGUUAUCUGAUUGCUUUUCAGAAUAAAAUUGCUUUUUCAUCAAAAUACCUAUACAGUAAUCCAUUAGUCACUCAAUUAUUCAUUGAUUCAGGCUUUCUUAAACCUGAGUAUUUUCCAGUCUCCAAGUCAACAAUGGUUUCCCUUUGCUUUUAGAUAAAGAGCUGAGAGACACAUAUGGGGACAGGACUCUAACCAACGAUGAGGAGGCAUUCCUGAAGACUUUGAGCCCUGGUCACAUCCUGGCGUUUGCUACAGGUAGCAGCAAAGUCCCAGCCACUGGCUUUCAUUCAUCUCCUAAAUUAAUGUUUAUUCAUGAUGAAAAAAAACAUCUUCCCAUUGUGCACACUUGUACAAAUGAGCUUCACCUUUUUGUAAACGGAAAAACAAUGGCUGAUGAUAAUGAAUUUAACUACUGCUUCCUAGUAGCACUAAUGAAUGGAUCUUUAUUCAGCACCAUUUAAACAAACUUUGUGAAAGAACCUCUGCAGUGUAAUACACCACUGUUUAGUGGAGGGCUCCUCAUGUUUGUUCAUAGAAGACAUAGUUUGUCCAUGUUAUAAAGCAAUGGUUUUUAAUUGCAGUACAUAAGAAUGCUAAAAAAGAAAUACUUUAGAUUGUGUUUUCCCAUCUUGCUCCACACUCUUUGCCCUGUUUUCUUACAAAAAAUGUUGACCUCUGUGAGGACUAUCUGACCCUUCUUUAUACUGUAAGAUGUUGUACUGUAUGACUGGAAGGAUAUGGAAUCAGUCAUCGCAGUAAUAAUAAAUCACUAAUGUAGUUACUUUAACCUUGUGAUGUGUGUGUUUUUUAACAAUGAUUGUUGAUUAAUUUAACUACCAUAGUUUUUUUAUACUGAAACAGUAGUGAAGGAAUAAACUAUGUACAUUUACUCAAGUAAUGUACUUCCAAAAAAAAUUUGAAGUAUUUUUCAGAUUACAAUUUUUAAUUCCCCUCCUCACCAUUGAAAGCCUUGUAUAUUCAGAUGUAUUGCUGUUGAAUGUUUUGUGAUAAACUGAAGAUUGUAUUUGUUCAUAUGUCAUCCUUCUUUCCCAUAACAUGAGUCAUCUUGUAUUUAUCCACACUACCAUUGCUUUUGACUUGACAGAAAACUAACAGAAGCAAAAGUGCGUCUGUAGCCUUUUUAACACUGACAUCAAGUAUGUGCCAUCAUGUAAUUUUCAAACAUCUAUAUGCUGGCAAGAGGCUUUAAAUCUUGUAGUUCAAGAAGCACAACAAAACAUCAAUAUUUGUUUCACAGUGUACUUUUUAAAGUACAAUAAGGCUAAUGUUACCCAGUUUUCCAUGUUAUGCUGAGAUCACACAUUUACAAGUUUAUCAAAAAAUAAACUGUUGUGUUCUCUGAAACAAUGUUUUGCCAUUGUUGUUUUCAU
rnacentral:lncRNA from 1 species